UUCAACAGCCUGAUGGGAAGAAGCUGUUCUGGUAGCUGGACAUUAGUUUUCACUCAUACACCUUCUUCCCCAUAUGGCAGAAGUGAAAUGAGAGUGUGGCCUGGGUGGUGUUGGUCCUUGAUGAUGUUGGAUACUGUUUUGAGACAGUGCUUCCUCUAAGUUCCUAUGAUGAUUUUACUGACUAAGAGCAAUGUAUGAAGGACCUGCAGAUGCACACCAAAGAUAGACACACAAUGCUGGAGUAAGUCCACGGGACAGGCAGCAUCUCUGGUGAGAACGAAUGAGUGAAGUUUCCUGUCGAGACCUGAGUUUCGGGUCUGAAGAAGUGUCUCGACCUGAAACGUCACACAUUCCUUCACUCCAGAGAUGCUGCAUGUCCUGCUGAGUUACUCCAGCAUUGUGUGUCUUUUAGAGCAAAGUCAUUGUUAAACAAUUUCAACAAUGGUCCUGCUACAUCCUAUAAAUCUUAACUGAGCUUAUCAAAUAUCUUCCGUCUCAUACCCAUCUUGCUCAUUGUUUUUUGUCUCAAUGCCAUUCCCUUUCUACGUCGUUUAUCUUUGUCGUUUAUUCUCUCCCGCAUACUAUUCAUUGGCAGGGGCAGUUUUGUCUUUGGCUUCCUCUGUCCUAUCCCAUCCCCCACUCCCGCCAGCCCUAUUUAAAUACCUGCAUAAGUUUCUAUGAAUUGUUCCCAAGAUAACAUAAAAGCAAAGGCAUCAAAGAAAAUGUGAUUAGAGGUACAGAUGGACCCAAGGCUGUCAGCGUGGUUGCCAUCUUUCCAUUGUCCUGUUCAAAAUGAGCAUCAAAUUCAUUGAACUCAUCAGAGGGGGAUGCGUUGUUGCCAGCAAUAUUGCCUGACUUCACUUUGUAGCUUGUUAUAGUAUGAUAACCUUGCCACAAUCGAUGGGUGUCAUUUGGUUAUCCUGGGAUUCCGACCUGGUCUGGAAUUCCCUCUUGGCAUCCUUGAUGGCUUUGCGAAAGUCGUAUACAGAUUUCUUGGGAUCGUUUGACUUUGAAUGAUGCAGACUUGGACUUCAUCCGGGAAUGCAUCUCAUGGUUCAUCUAUGGUCUCUGUCUUAUUUGGUACACAGUUCUCUGCAAACAUACUGGCAAAGUCUACUCAUUUAGGUUGGCCACAGAAUUAAGCGAAGCUGUGGUCCUGGUACUGAUCCCUGUGAAACUCCCUUGUACACUUUCCUCCAAUCUAAAAAAAUACUGUAACUAUUAUCCAGGGUUACACUAUAGAAGAGGUGGUUUGAUUCAUUACCCCACCACCUUUCAUAUUUUUCAGACAUUUUCCUAUCCAAGACUUGAGAAUCUUGAUGAUGGAAGUCCAUAUAUUCUGCAUUUUCUUUACUGACUUUUCUGUUACAUCAUCAAAAAACUGUUAGAUAUGAUUUGCCCUUAAAGAUAUUUGGUGAUGAUUGGUUUAUAUUUGUAUGAUGUUUGGUAUGAAUAUUAUAAAUUUGAUGGAAUAUUUUGUGGUGGGGUUUAUUUUUGUCUUAUGGCAGGCAGUUGACACAAUGAGCAGUGAAAAAUGAGCAAUUUAGUGAAUGGGGAAUUGGGGUUGUGGUUGCUUGCUUUCAUGCAAAUCAUUUCUUCACACACAUCCUUGGCUGAAUAACGCUGCCAUGGUUGCCUCACCCUUCUCACUUCCCUCCUUCUCCACCCUCGCAUGUUCCUGCUUCUCAGUUGAUUUUGGUGUAGCUGGUGACAAUGCCUGAAAACGCACAAUAGUGAGGUUGGGUGCAUGUAGCAGCGGUUGUACUAGCACAACAGCAUUUUACAGCUCUUCCACUACAACUACCUGCUGAAAGCCGUUGUAAUCAAGUCAUCUCAUCUUUGGUUAGCCCUGUGUUUCAACUGCAAAUGAAAUUAAACAAAUGCAUCAUGAAUAUUGGAAAAUGAUCUACAUGAGAAGCUGCUUUUGGUCACACAUCGGUUAGUUGCCAAGGGAAUGAACCGUUGGUGGGUACCAGGAAAUGACUAAUUCAACACACGUUAGUCAAAAAGCAUAUGGUCAGAAGGUUGCAAUCUAAGCAGAGUAAUGUGCUGCCUCUGCGUGCUAGUCUCUGGCAAGAUACCAUGAUAUGUAAUUAACUUUCAGAAAAGACAGCCUCCUCGUCCUGCCUGAUGCAACAGUGAUGAGAACUUACAAGAUGUUGCAACAAUAUCCAGUUUCAGCUUGGAAGGAGUCAGGCACAUAAAAAAUCAUUAAUAUGGUCACCUUGACAACAACGACAAUGUGUUCCUGACCUAGCAAUUGACGGUUUUGGCUGUGGCAAGUGAAAUAUUUCAGUGAGAUCAUCCUUUCUGAAGGGCAGACAUCCCACUCAUUCUUCCUCCACAAAGUUCAAGUAGGAGAACUGGUCCUUCCACAGCCAGGGUGAUAGGAAAUUUCAUGAAUAUUCACACAUUUUUAAUCUCAUAAACAUAAUUCGGAUUUGUAUGUCACAAUAAGGUACUUCUGAAUGCUGGUAUUUAUUAUAGUGAUAUUUAUUUUUGAGGUUGAAUGUUAAACACACGGCUGAGGUAGCAGACUCAUCCAGGAGGUAGACAUCAUUCUCGAUGUCUGAGUUAUUAAUGGGUUUUCGAAAACGGGUGAAGGUUACUGCAAAACGUUUGAAUUGGUAAAAAAACCCAACUGGUUUAUUUAUGCUCUUCAGAGAAGGACAUCUUCCCUUUUCUUCCCUGGUUUGACCAACAAACAGCACCAUUGCCAUCUAUUGAGGUUUCCUCCGAGCAGUUCUCAGAAGUGGCGCUGCAAGCCCCUCAUUUGUACGCAAGAUUUAAAGAUCCUUCUGGGUUUCCAGGAAUGAGCAAUAAUUGAUGACCUUUCAGACAUUGUCCAUGUUCAAAGGGUGAGUUUAAAAAAAGGAGCAAAGUAGUGUUGCAUUAUAACUAUCCUAUGAUGAAAAUGUACAUAUAUUAUUUUCUUAGAAAAGGUUAAAUUAGGAAGAUGAGGAACAUCUUGACAUGAUGAACAUUUUUCUUUCUUUGCUGUGAAGAACUAAGCUGUCAGCUCAACAUAAUGACAGCUUAGCUUUAAAUUGCAACUGUGUGACCUCAAGAAAUAAUUACAGGCCUUGUUCGUUCACCCUGUUUUUGGUUUCAGCUAUUUUGUGCUUUCAUUCUGUACAUGUGAAACAUCUUUUUUUAAAUAGAUGAAAAUAGAAAAUGACCAAACUUCGAAAAUAUCCCAUUAGCUGGAAAAUGCUACGGGAGGUCUAAAAUUCAUGGAAGACUAAGGUUUUUUUUUAGGAUUGGUUGAAUUUGAUCAAUGUACAUUUAUGUUAAAUGUGAUUUGGGACUCUUGGUUUCAAAGUUAAGAAUGUUCCAAUUCUUCCUCUGGUCACCUUCAACAGUAAAUUUUCCUCUCUUCCCCAAAUGUAAUUUCAAUGAGUCUGUUUGGUUUGUAUUUGUGGAUUUUAGUUAUUUAAAAACACUAAAUGUUACACAUUGAAAUACAGUUCUGCAUCCUGAUUUUGGUUAAUUGCACAAUUUUCUUUAGAAAGCUAAUGAUGAAAAAUAAUGACAUUGAAAAAAUACUGCUGCUAUUAAUUAGUUUAACAUGACUUUGUUGAUUAUAAACUAUUGGCAUAACUCUUCGAUUCUCCCCACAUUAUUAUGUUCAACUUUGAGGCUAUUUAACAUUGUUUUGUUAUUGCUACCCUAAAUUUGUUCUAUUAAAAUCUAGAUUUCCCUCAAAACUGGAGCCUCAUAAUCAUGCUUAGUAAAGGAGGAGGAGGAAGCUAUAAAUUGCGAUUUUCCAGUUCUUUAUCUUGCCAAAAAAAAGCUUCAUGACCAUCUCUGGGUGAGGGUUACCGGACUGAUAUUUUGUUCAACUGUAACAAGAUGUCCCAACUCUUCUACUCAUUGCCUCAGCAGAUGAAGGCAAUUGCGUUCUUCACCACCCUGUCUACCUGCGGCACCAAUUUCAGGAAACUAUGUAUUUGUAUCCUAGGUCUGUUAGUUCUACAACACUUCCCCAGGACUCUAUCAUUCACUGUGUAUUUCCUUCCCUGGUUUAAAUUCCCAAAUAGCUUCACUUUACUUUUGUCUGAGUUAAACUCUAUCUGAUGUUCCUUUGCAUACUUUCCCAGUUGAUAUAGAUCAUGUAGUCACCCUUUUUCAUUGUCCACCACAUCGUCAUUUAAAUCCUUCCCCUCUCACCUUAAACCUAUGCUCUCUAGUUUUAAACUUGCCGACCUGGGUCUGCAUCAGUUGUGGAUUAGUUAAUCAUGCCACCUACAUUCUCCUCCAAGUCAUUAACAUAGAUGACAAAGGCAUAGGCCUACUAUCUGAAAUAGUCCAUCCACUCUCAAUCUUUGACUCCUUCCACUAUGCCAGUUUUGUGUACAAUUGGCUUGGCUAGUUCAAUCUUGAUCUCAAAAGCUGUAAUCUUCCAGACCAGCUUACCUAUGUAUGAUUUUAUCCAAGGCCUUGCUAAAGACCUAGUAGAGAAAAUCUACCACCCUGCCCUUGUCAAUCCUCCUGCUCACUUCAAAGAAACCUAAUCAUAUUCAACUGAGUAAACAGAUGGCACCUCAGUUCGACAGCUCGACUGAAAGCUAAUACCUCUGAUGCAUCACAACCUCAAUUUUGCUCUCUUGCCGAAUAUUUAUUUGUUAUUUGAUUUCUGGAGUGGGAUUUAACCUUUUACUGCCAGGCUCAGAGGUGUAGUAACUGAACUAUCUAACAUAGGAGAUUAUUGGUGGAAUUUAGAAUGUCUUUGCCUGUAGUAUUUUGGUUCCAUUGUGCUUAAGUAUUAAAAAAAAGUGUAGUUAA